rnacentral:rRNA from 1 species
GACGAACGCUGGCGGCGUGCUUAACACAUGCAAGUCGAACGGAAAGGCCCUGAUUGUGUGGGGUGCUCGAGUGGCGAACGGGGGAGUAAGACGUGAGUAACCUGACCUUGACUUUCGGGGAAGUUCAGGAAACGGGAGCUAAGACAGGAUAGGAGCUGCUGCUGCGGGGAGGGGGGUGGAAAGUUUCAGCGGGCGGGGAUGGACUCGCGGGUGAUGGGCUUGUUAGUGGGGUAGUGGCUGCCCAAGGCAUUGACGGGUCGCCGGCAUGAGAGGGUGACCGGCCACCUUGGUCCUGAGGUACGGCCCAGUGUCCUACGUUAGGCAGCAGUCGCGAAUAUUGCCCAAUGGGCGGACGCCUGAUGAGGCAACCCUCCGUUCGGGAUGACGUCCUUCGGGUUGUAAACCGCUUCCGCCUGUGACGCCGCGUGAGUGACGGUACUGGAUAAAUAAGCACCGGCUAACUACGUG